rnacentral:rRNA from 1 species
AUUGAACGCUGGCGGCAGGCCUAACACAUGCAAGUCGAGCGGAUGAAGGGAGCUUGCUCCUGGAUUCAGCGGCGGACGGGUGAGUAAUGCCUAGGAAUCUGCCUGGUAGUGGGGGAUAACGUCCGGAAACGGGCGCUAAUACCGCAUACGUCCUGAGGGAGAAAGUGGGGGAUCUUCGGACCUCACGCUAUCAGAUGAGCCUAGGUCGGAUUAGCUAGUUGGUGGGGUAAAGGCCUACCAAGGCGACGAUCCGUAACUGGUCAGAGAGGAUGAUCAGUCACACUGGAACUGAGACACGGUCCAGACUCCUACGGGAGGCAGCAGUGGGGAAUAUUGGACAAUGGGCGAAAGCCUGAUCCAGCCAUGCCGCGUGUGUGAAGAAGGUCUUCGGAUUGUAAAGCACUUUAAGUUGGGAGGAAGGGCAGUAAGUUAAUACCUUGCUGUUUUGACGUUACCAACAGAAUAAGCACCGGCUAACUUCGUG